GGUGAUACAGCUCAUUGGUAGAGUGCUUUCCUAUCAUGCUUGAAGCCCUGGGUUCAAUCUCCAGUACUACCA
rnacentral:tRNA from 1 species